AGAAAAGUAGGAGACAGUGUCUCCACCCGAUUCUUAUCCUUCAUCAUUUCCAGGGAAGGGAUAAAGACAAGCACACACCUCGAUCUCAUGCAGGCAGGAAGGCUGCCUGGAACCUCUCCCCUCUAAGGACAGUUUUGGAGGAGGACAAGCCUGCUGUGGAGGAUUUCCUUUUUAUGGAAGAAUUGUAACGGGCUGGCUUGUGAGUGCUGCUACUGAGCAACCAGCUACACCUGGAGAAGAAUAUCAUCACCCCAGGUCCAGCUCAGGCUGAGCCCUCCCUGGGGAAUCUCCACAGUAGCCAACUCAAUCAUCCUGGGCUUUCACGCUUCCAGCCUGCUGUCACUGGGUGCAGAGCCAUGGGGCAUGCAUGAGGUCAUGUGGUGUUUCCACCAUACCCAUAAAACAGUUGCAGUCAACUUCAACAAGCAGAGCAGGUGAGCACAGCUGCUGGGCUCCUGUUCCCAUUGUUCUUCCCUGGGCCUCCCCUGGCUCCAGCCAUAAUAGGCUUCCUGCUGUCCUUCAACACAUUGAGCAGCUUUGUCACUGAAACACUGUUCCCACUGAAACACAGGAGCCUGACACCUUUGACCCUACAACCAUACAACUCAUCAGCUACGUGAAAGUUCCUGCUCUGAAAUGAUUAUCCACCCCACUUUCCCACACAUAAGCAAUAAUUCAGUUCAACCCUGCACCUUAAUGUUGAUGACUUUCUGGCACUUUGCAUGUUUUAUUUGUUGGUUGUGUGACUCCAUCACUCUCCCCUGGUAAUUAAAUCUCAUGAUGAAGG
rnacentral:lncRNA from 1 species